rnacentral:tRNA from 1 species
CGCGGGGUGGAGCAGUUUGGUAGCUCGUCGGGCUCAUAACCCGAAGGUCACAGGUUCAAAUCCUGUCCCCGCUA